ACGCUGGCGGCAGCCUCAUACAUGCAAGUCGAGCGAGAACGUUACUUCGGUAGCUAGUAAAGCGGCGGACGGGUGAGUAACGCGUAGGAAUCUACCUUUCAGCGGGGGAUAGCUCGGGGAAACCCGAAUUAAUACCGCAUACACCCUAAGGGGGAAAGAGGGCCUAUCCUUGGAAGCUCUCGCUGUUAGAUGAGCCUGCGUGAGAUUAGUUUGUUGGUGGGGUAAUGGCCUACCAAGACUACGAUCUCUAGCUGGUCUGAGAGGACGAUCAGCCACACUGGGACUGAGACACGGCCCAGACUCCUACGGGAGGCAGCAGUAGGGAAUAUUGGACAAUGGGGGCAACCCUGAUCCAGCUAUGCCGCGUGUGUGAAGAAGGCUCUAGGGUUGUAAAGCACUUUAGGUAAGGACGAAAAGAAUAUAGUUAAUACCUAUAUUCCGUGACUUAACUUACAGAAUAAGGACCGGCUAACUCCGUGCCAGCAGCCGCGGUAAUACGGAGGGUCCAAGCGUUAAUCGGAAUUACUGGGCGUAAAGCGCGCGUAGGCGGUUUGUCAAGUUGGAUGUGAAAUCCCUGGGCUCAACCUAGGAACUGCAUUCAAAACUUAUAGACUAGAGUACGAUAGAGGAGAGUAGAAUUCCUGGUGUAGCGGUGAAAUGCGUAGAUAUCAGGAGGAAUACCAAUGGCGAAGGCAACUCUCUGGAUCGACACUGACGCUGAGGUGCGAAAGCGUGGGUAGCAAACAGGAUUAGAUACCCUGGUAGUCCACGCCGUAAACGAUGAGAACUAGCCGUUGGAUCUUAGAUUCAGUGGUACAGCUAACGCAUUAAGUUCUCCGCC
rnacentral:rRNA from 1 species